UUGUUGCUUUAUUACUUUGUAGUAACCAACCAGGUAGAAGUCGUCUUAGUUUUCAUUAGUAUUUUAACCUAUAUAGAUAUUAGUGGUGGUGGUGAUUUUUAUUGUUUAUAAGCUGCUCUUAAGAGAUAAGGUCAUAAGGAAUUUGAGUGGCAGCAAAUUAAGAUGGCUCACAAGGUCUCUCUUAUCCUCGUUAUUGUCCUCUUAAUUUCGGUCCAGAUGGGAGCUGCCAGCGGCAGGGAAAGGGAAAUCAUCCUGACCGGUUAGUACUAUAUACAACUCAUAGAUAUAUAUAAAGCUCCUCUUAAGAGAUAAGGUCCAUUAGGAGUUUGAGUGGCAGCAAAUUAAGAUGGCUCACAAGCUCUCUCUUAUCCUCGUUAUUGUCCUCUUAAUUUUGGUCCAGAUGGGAGCUGCCAGCAGCAGGGAAAUCAUCCUGUCCGAAGAAAAGGAAAGACACCGCAAAGAGUACUUCGAUGUGAGUAAACCCCGGAGCCCUCCUCAUUGCUCACCACGGGACCCACCAUACGGUAGAGGAAGCCCAAGACCGAGAAGGCGAUGCCCCUCCCCCCCGGCAGAGACUCGAGGCUGAAGCGUACUAUUAUCGUGCAUGAUCUUUGUUUUCUUAGAUCGUUUCUUGGUGGUGGUGAUUUUUAUUGUGUAUUUUGCAGCUGAUCAUCCCAAUUUAAAAAGGCUCUGAAAAUAAGCUCUUCUUUUUAAAAAUGCAAUGGACAAUAAAUUAUUCAAAUCCACAUGAUUGUUUGAAAUUGAAAACGAGCUCAAGAGUCAAGAUUGCAGAUAAUUUGGCUUGUGAGCAAUCCCAUCAUGAAUAUUCCAAAAAGAUUAUGGUGGUUGUCA